rnacentral:lncRNA from 1 species
CUGAGGCAUUACUGAUUUGAACCUUUGAUGUAAAUGAGUUUAAAAUUUGGUAAAAAUUGUUCAAGUGAGCGCACAAUUAACCAUAUUAUUAAUAUUUCAAAGGGUCAAAACUCUUAUACAAAUAAUUGAUCAGCACUGAUUUACAGAAUUGUCCUAGAUAUUGCUGUCAGAUACAAACCUAUGAUAAAAGAGUAUAAAAAUCUGGCAAGAAUUGUGCAUGUCAGAGCGCAAACAAAACAGACCAACACACUGUCUUUCUACACAGAAAUGCAACAUGUCACGAUGGGGACAAAAAAGGGAGAUAAUAAAUCAGAUAGGUUGGUGAUUUACAUGUUUGUCUUAUAU